rnacentral:rRNA from 1 species
ACUACGGGAGGCAGCAGUGGGGAAUAUUGCACAAUGGGGGAAACCCUGAUGCAGCGACGCCGCGUGAGUGAAGAAGUAUUGCGGUAUGUAAAGCUCGAUCAGCAGGGAAGAAAAUGACGGUACCUGAUUAAGAAGCCCCGGCUAACUAAGUGCCAGCAGCCGCGGUAAUACGUAGGGGGCAAGCGUUAUCCGGAUGUACUGGGGGUAAAGGGAGCGUAGACGGCAGCACCAGUCUGGAGUGAAAUGCCGGGGCUUAACCCCGGAACUGCUUGGGAAACUGUGCAGCUAGAGUGCAGGAGAGGUAAGUGGAAUUCCUUGUGUAGCGGUGAAAUGCGUCGAUAUUAGGAGGAACACCAGUGGCGAAGGCGGCUUACUGGACUGUAACUGACGUUGAGGCUCGAACGCGUGGGGAGCAAACAGGAUUCGAUACCCUGGUAGUC